AAUCAAUGGGGUGAGUGAGUUUGCGUUAAGUUUUUUUAAAAAUUAAAAAUUUAAUUUUGAAAAUUUAAUUUAAUAUAUUUCUGUAAUUCAGUUUGAUUUGAUUUUUAAUUAAAAAAAAUUCUAUUGAAUUGGAUGAAAAAAAUAAGUUUAGUAUGAAACACAAAUUAAUAAAUUAAAUCGAAAUACAUCAAAUGUUCAUUCCUAGUAGUUGAGAAG
rnacentral:misc_RNA from 1 species